rnacentral:lncRNA from 1 species
GAGUGCACGACAAAGAUGACACAUUACCGAACCCAAUAGCCUUAAUUGCUAACCGCUUCUCCUCUGACAAUUUUUCCACCGUACGAUGGAAUCGGUCCAGGCUGCAUCUAGUUAUCCAACUCAUCUCAUUCACUGAGUCGUUUACUUGCCCGCUUGAACCUUCUAAGGCAGAACCAUAUGUUGCCUUCUCUGCAGUGUUCAAUUUCC